rnacentral:rRNA from 1 species
GACGAACGCUGGCGGCGUGCCUAACACAUGCAAGUCGAACGGAGAUACGAUUUCGGUUGUAUCUUAGUGGCGAACGGGUGAGUAACGCGUGAGCAACCUGACUCUUAGAGGGGGAUAACACCUGGAAACAAGUGCUAAUACCGCAUAAGACCACGACAUGGCAUCAUGACGAGGUCAAAGGAGCAAUCCGCUGAGAGAGGGGCUCGCGUCCCAUUAGAUAGAUGGCGGGGUAACGGCCCACCAUGUCAGCGAUGGGUAGCCGAGCUGAGAGGCUGAUCGGCCACACUGGAACUGAGACACGGUCCAGACUCCUACGGGAGGCAGCAGUGGGGAAUAUUGGGCAAUGGGCGCAAGCCUGACCCAGCAACGCCGCGUGAGGGAAGAAGGCUUUCGGGUUGUAAACCUCUGUCCUUGGUGACGAAAAAAUGACGGUAGCCAAGGAGGAAGCCCCGGCUAACUACGUG